GUGCUCGCUUUGGCAGCACGUACACUAAAAUUGGAAUAAUAUAGAGAAGGUUAGCAUGGCCCCGAGCAAGGAUGACACACAAAUCCGUGAAGUGUUCCAUAUUUUA